UGACAUGUAAAAUGGGUCACCGGCUUAGAUGAUACUUUGUGCAGCUUUUUACUUCCUUUUUUUACGGUUAUAACACAUAGAAGUUCCAUUUUUCCCGCCUAUUGGAGCUCCUCCGAAGCCUUUUGAUUAUCAUUUGGUUAUUAUUCAAGCCAGUAUUGGUGGUUUGGUGUUGCUCCUUGUGUUAAUUGCAAAAGCAAGACAUACAAAUUAAAGUCCAUGUUUAGCUGAAUAUUAUACAAGGGCUACUUUGGUCUUCUCCAAAAUUUUACUGAAAGCUAGAGCAACUUGACCGGUGGUGGCAAUAUAAGAACUCCCCGGUACAUACAUACCAGCAAUUAAUCUGCCUUCCGCCUGCUUCUGUUCAUCUUCUUUCUUUCUCCACUUCAUCUUCAGAUUUCUUUUUAUGUUAAGUUUACCGAUUUUGCUGCUACUUCCGACAUCACCGAUUAUUGAAGGUCUUUGUGCAGGUAUAUCAACUAACCAUUCUUUCAGCUGGUUUGAUCAAAAGUUGCGCUACCAAUUAUAUCCUCUGGCUUUACAACAUCGCAAAGCCCUUGGGUUCUGCAAAUACUACAAGCAUUUUUCUGAAGUCAUCCAAUGCUACCUGCCCUCACUUGAUCAAGAAAAAUAUAGAACUUUCUUACUCAACUGAUACGCCUAUCAGGUAAUUGCCACCGGCUUGGUAUUGACAAUCACUCAAAUGCUAAGCAAGCAUGGUGUUGUUCGAAAGUUUGUUGAAUUUUACGGUAAAUUUUAAUGUUUGUUGUGAUGACUAUAUAUGUGAAAUGUUGGUAUUUGUUGUGACAUGGUUGCACAACUUGCACAAGAAAUUCUAAGGAUUUGGAUGAAUCAGUUGAUGAAUCUACUA